UACGGAGGGGGCUAGCGUUGUUCGGAAUUACUGGGCGUAAAGCGCACGUAGGCGGCUUUGUAAGUUAGAGGUGAAAGCCCAGGGCUUAACCCUGGAAUUGCCUUUAAGACUGCAUCGCUUGAACACGGGAGAGGUGAGUGGAAUUCCGAGUGUAGAGGUGAAAUUCGUAGAUAUUCGGAAGAACACCAGUGGCGAAGGCGGCUCACUGGACCGUUGUUGACGCUGAGGUGCGAAAGCGUGGGGAGCAAACAGG
rnacentral:rRNA from 1 species